rnacentral:lncRNA from 1 species
UGAUUUAUAACAAUCGCCUCUGUUUGAGAACCAACGACCUCAUUGGUCACGGCUGAGCCUCCUCUAUUUUUCUUAUGUGGGACAAUUGUUUCAUAACAAUCGCCUCUACUUGAGAACCAACGACCUCGGUGGUCACGACUGAGCCCCUUCUUAGGUCAUCACUCCUGGUACACAGGCCACCACUCCGAGUCGCGACUCCACGCGUGGAUCGAUCCUCGUUGGUCACGAGUGGUACCCCUCUUGGGUCCAGGCCACCACUCCUGAAACGCAAGCCACCGGUCCGAGUCACGGUCCAACGCACAUGGAUCGAUCCUCGUUGGUCACGGCUACGCCCAAUUGAUCACGACUGACACUUCUCUUGGGUCCAGGCCACCAUUCCUGGCACGUAAGUCAUCACUUCGAGUCACGGCCCAAUGCAUGAGACUCUCAAUAAAAGCACCAAUGUUAUAAAACAAACGAGAGAAGCCAGCCAAAUAAACUAGCCUGAUAGGUGAGAGAACUUAUUUAGCCUAUAAACCCCUUAGCAUUUCUCUAUUUUUUUAAUGAGGAACAAUUGGUUCAUAACAAAGGUUAUAACGUUUUCUACCAAAGGCGAUAUUGUAUUGAGAACUCGAAUCAGAGAUCUCUGAUAAAAAAUGAAGGAGUACUUACUACAUCACGAUAACCUUUGGUGGCUCUUUUGAAAUUAUCGUUUUAUUGAUUUGAAAUAUAAGUGAUUGGUUGAUAUUUACUAAUUGACUUAGUAAAAUAUAGUAUCUUGAAGAAUGUUUAAAACGAGG